rnacentral:rRNA from 1 species
CCAAAGAGGGGGACCUUCGGGCCUCUUGCCAUCAGAUGUGCCCAGAUGGGAUUAGCUUGUUGGUGAGGUAACGGCUCACCAAGGCGACGAUCCCUAGCUGGUCUGAGAGGAUGACCAGCCACACUGGAACUGAGACACGGUCCAGACUCCUACGGGAGGCAGCAGUGGGGAAUAUUGCACAAUGGGCGCAAGCCUGAUGCAGCCAUGCCGCGUGUAUGAAGAAGGCCUUCGGGUUGUAAAGUACUUUCAGCGGGGAGG